AAAGUAAUAAUCCUACUAAUGUCAAAGACUAUAGACCUAUUGCCUGUUGUACAACUGUAUACAAAAUCAUAUCCAAGAUCAUUACAAAGAGAAUGAAGACUAUAAUUGGCAGCAUAGUUGGCCAGUCCCAAUCUGCAUUUAUUGAAGGGAGGAGUAUCAUUGAUAAUAUUCUGCUCAGUCAUGAAAUCUUUAAGGGAUAUACAAGGAAAGGUGUUUCUCCUAGAUGUGUCCUUAAGGUGGACUUAAGAAAGGCCUAUGAUACCUUAGAAUGGGGUUUUCUUCAACAGGUUCUUAUUGAUAUUGGUUUUCCUGCAAAAUUUCUCAAGUGGAUAAUGACAUGUGUAUCUUCUGUUUCAUAUUCCUUAAUGCUUAAUGGGGGUUCACUAAACCUUUCAAUGCAAGGAGAGGGAUUAGGCAAGGGGACCCUAUGUCUCCCUACUUAUUUGUUCUUGCAAUGGAGUAUCUUAACAGACUGCUGCAGCAACUUCAUAGGAAUGGAGAUUUCAAUUUCCAUCCUAAAUGCAGGAAACUAAACUGUGUACAUAUUUGCUUUGCUGAUGAUCUCCUCAUGUUCUGCAGAGCUGAUAGGAUUUCUAUUCAGAUAUUACAAGAGGCUUUUCAUAACUUUUCUGAAGCAUCAGGCUUGAAAGCAAACAACAACAAAAGUGCUAUCUAUAUUGCUGGGGUGCAUCAGUCUGUUAGACAUGAACUUAUAGAGCAAAUGGGGUUCAGUGAAGGACAGCUUCCUUUUAAGUACCUUGGAGUUCCUCUUAGCUCAAAGAAACUUGCUAUACAUCAGUAUGCUACUCUGAUUGAGAAAAUAACUGCUAGAGUCACUUGUUGGUCUGCCAAAAUGUUAUCCUAUGCAGGAAGAUGCCAAUUGAUCAAAGCAGCGAUAUUUGGCAUCCAUACAUACUGGGCACAAAUUUUUAUCAUACCAAAGAAGGUCCUGAAGGUUAUUGAGGCAAUCUGCAGGUCCUUCCUAUGGAUAGGCAGUGCUACUAUAUCUAAAAGAGCUUUGGUUGCAUGGGAGAGAAUAUGUAUACCUAUAUCUGCUGGUGGUCUAAACAUCAUAGAUAUGGCUACCUGGAAUAAGGCAGCCAUAACAAAAUUGCUUUGGGAUCUUGCUAGGAAAAAACACUGCCUCUGGAUAAAGUGGCUCCACUGCUACUACAUCAACCAACAUGAUAUCAAUAAUACACUUUGCCAAAAACUGCCUCUUGGAUUAUUAGGAAAAUACUGGAAUGCAGGACUGCUGUCAUGGAUACUAUAGACCUAUUUCCUGUUGUACAAGUGUAUACAAAAUCAUAUCCAAGAUCAUUACAAAGAGGAUGAAGACUAUAAUUGGCAGCAUAGUUGGCCAGUCCCAAUCUGCAUUUAUUGAAGGGAGGAGUAUCAUUGAUAAUAUUCUGCUCAGUCAUGAAAUCUUUAAGGGAUAUACAAGGAAAGGUGUUUCUCCUAGAUGUGUCCUUAAGGUGGACUUAAGAAAGGCCUAUGAUACCUUAGAAUGGAGUUUUCUUCAGCAGGUUCUUAAGGAUAUUGGUUUUUCUGCAAAAUUCCUCAAGUGGAUAAUGACAUGUGUAUUUCUGUUUCAUAUUCCUUGAUGCUUAAUGGGGGUUUCACUAAACCUUUCAAUGCAAGGAGAGGGAUUAGGCAAGGGGAUCCUAUGUCUCCCUACUUGUUUGUUCUUGCAAUCUAAACCUUUCAAUGCAAGGAGAGGGAUUAGGCAAGGGGACCCUAUGUCUCCCUACUUAUUUGUUCUUGCAAUGGAGUAUCUUAACAGACUGCUGCAGCAACUUCAUAGGAAUGGAGAUUUCAAUUUCUAUCCUAAAUGUAGGAAACUAAACUGUGUACAUAUUUGCUUUGCUGAUGAUCUCCUCAUGUUCUGCAGAGCUGAUAGGAUUUGUAUUCAGAUAUUACAAGAGGCUUUUCAUAACUUUUCUGAAGCAUCAGGCUUGAAAGCAAACAACAACAAAAGUGCUAUCUAUAUUGCUUGGGUGCAUCAGUCUGUUAGACAUGAACUUAUAGAGCAAAUGGGGUUCAGUGAAGGACAGCUUCCUUUUAAGUACCUUGGAGUUCCUCUUAGCUCAAAGAAACUUGCUAUACAUCAGUAUGCUACUCUGAUUGAGAAAAUAACUGCUAGAGUCACUUGUUGGUCUGCCAAAAUGUUAUCCUAUGCAGGAAGAUGCCAAUUGAUC
rnacentral:lncRNA from 1 species